rnacentral:rRNA from 1 species
UACGGGAGGGUGCGAGCGUUGUCCGGAAUCACUGGGCGUAAAGGGCGCGUAGGCGGCGCGGGGAGUCAACGGUGAAAGCUCGGCGCUCAACGCCGAGUCGGCCGUCGAUACUCCCGUGCUCGAGCACUGUAGAGGCAGGUGGAAUUCCGGGUGUAGCGGUGGAAUGCGUAGAGAUCCGGAAGAACGACCGGUGACGCAGGCGGCC